rnacentral:tRNA from 1 species
GCCUGAGUGGCUUAGUUGGUCGAGUAUCCGACUUUGGCUCAGGUCAUGAUCUCACAGUCUGUGAGUUCGAGUCCCAUCCCGGGCU